rnacentral:lncRNA from 1 species
CUUAGAUCAUGUGCUAACAAGACGGAGAUUUUUGGACAUAAAUGAUGAGCUUUUUUGAACAAAACUACAUUCGUUAUGGACCUGUGAUACCUGGAAGUGACAUCUGAUGAAGAGAAUCAAAGGCCCAUCCCUCCCACCGGGUCAUCGAUGGCCAGCCAGGGUAUAUGGUGAGACGCCUCCUGAGGGUUCGACCACGGGGCAGGGGUUUCCAGUACCUGGUUGACUGGGAGGGUUAUGGCCCGGAGGAGAGGUGCUGGGUUCCUGCUAAAGACAUCCUGGACACGGCCCUCAUUGCCGAUUUACACUGCCGACACCCCGGUCAGCCAGGUAUGCACCCGGAUAGGACGCCAGGUGGCGCCCCUAGGAGGGGGGGUACUGUCACACCAUGAUCUGUUUCACCUGUCCUUGCGAUUGUCUCCACCCCUCCAGUCCUCCCGGUUUUGACCCUUGCCUGUUUUCUGGACUACGUACCCGCCUGCCUGACCAGUCUCCCUGCCUUGACCUCGAGCCUGCCUGCCACUCUGUACCCCCUGGACUCUGAUCUGGUUUUGACCGUUUGCCUGUCCACGACCAUUCUCUUGCCUACCC